rnacentral:misc_RNA from 1 species
GUAUGCAUCAGUCGCUAUGCCUCCAAUGACGCGGCAAGUUCGUGCCAUGGAAAGGUGAAGGUGAAGGGACCAGUUGGGAUAACCAUUCUGAUAAAGAUGCACACGGCGUCCAGUCCUACAUUCAACCCCACUGAGCAACUGAACAGAGAAAGGUCUUCAACAGUGGUAGCACCUCUUGAAACCAGAAAUCCAUGGAGCAUCCCAACCCUACUGCAACUGCAAAGCAGUGAAGAUAUUAUCUAUAAUGGGACCAGAGAAUUGUGCGAUGUCAUCAGCUUUCCUUUCCGUCAAAUUGGAGCGUGCUUUCCCCGAUCAAAAAAGCUUGAGCUCUCACCACCAGCUGCCC